GCUGUCGUGGUUUAGUGGUAAAAUCAGCGCUUCCCAAGAUAAUUGAUUGGCUAUUCAGUUUACUGGAUAGAUAAGUAUGCGCUGGCCGCGGGUUCGAUUCCCGCCGAUAGCA